GACGAACGCUGGCGGCGUGCCUAAUGCAUGCAAGUCGCACGGGGAGCUUCGGCUCCCAGUGGCGCACGGCUGAGGAACACGUGGGAAUGUGCCCCUUGGUGGGGGAUAACGCCGCGAAAGCGGCGCUAAUCCCGCAUACGCUCGCAAGAGGAAAGCGGUAACGCGCCGAGGGAGCAGCCUGCGGCCCAUCAGGUAGUUGGUGGGGUAAUGGCCUACCAAGCCACUGACGGGUAGCUGGUCUGAGAGGACAGACAGCCAGACUGGGACUGAGACACGGCCCAGACUCCUACGGGAGGCAGCAGCAAGGAAUUUUCGUCAAUGGGCGCAAGCCUGAACGAGCAACGCCGCGUGGUGGAUGACGGCCUUCGGGUUGUAAACACCUUUUGGGGGGGACGAUAAUGACGGUACCCCUUGAAUAAGCCCCGGCUAACUCUGUGCCAGCAGCCGCGGUAAGACAGAGGGGGCAAGCGUUGUCCGGAAUUACUGGGCGUACAGGGCACGCAGGUGGCUGCAUAGGUGGCGUGUGAAAGCCCCGCGCUUAACGCGGGGAGGCCACGCCAAACGGUGCGGCUCGAGCGAUGCAGAGGGUGGUGGAAUUGCCGGUGUAGUGGUGAAAUGCGUAGAGAUCGGCAGGAACACCAAGGACGAAGGUAACCACCUGGGCAUCAGCUGACACUCAUGUGCGACAGCGUGGGGAGCGAACCGGAUUAGAUACCCGGGUAGUCCACGCCGUAAACGAUGGAUGCUCGGCGUUUGGGGGGGUAAGUCUCCCUGGGCGCCCAAGCUGACGCGCAAGCAUCCCGCCUGGGAACUACGAGCGCAAGCUUAAAACUCAAAAGGAAUUGACGGGGGCCCGCACAAGCAGCGGAGCGUGUGGUUUAAUUCGACGCAACACGAAGCACCUUACCCAGACUGGACAUGCUACUGCAAGGUGGUGAAAGCCACUCGCCUUCGAGGGUGUAGCACAGAUGCUGCAUGGCUGUCGUCAGCUCGUGUCGUGAGAUGUCGGGUUCAGUCCCGCAACGAGCGCAACCCCUGCGGUCAGUUACCUGUGUCUGACCGGACUGCCCUUCGGGGAGGAAGGCGGGGAUGACGUCAAGUCCGCAUGGCUCUUACGUCUGGGGCAACACACACGCUACAAUGGCCGACGCAGAGCGUCGCGACCCGGCAACGGGCAGCAAAUCGCAAAUGUCGGUCUCAGUGCAGAUCGGGGGCUGCAACUCGCCCCCGUGAAGGCGGAGUUGCUAGUAACCGCGUAUCAGCGAUGGCGCGGUGAAUACGUACCCGGGCCUUGUACACACCGCCCGUCACGUCAUGGGAGUUGUCAAUGCCUGAAGUCCGUGGGCCAACCCGCAAGGGAGGCAGCGGCCGAGGGCAGGGGCAGCGACUGGGACG
rnacentral:rRNA from 1 species